UAUAGGACCUGAGGUUCUUCCCCUCACUCUUCUAUUCUAGAUUCCUCUCUUCUAUCUUGGCUAACACCUCUUACCUUUUCCAGUUAGAUUCCAUGUUUGAAGACUAAAGAUUAAAAUACUUUUUCUUCUUGUGUGAGGAUUCAGAAGGUCUCAAGUCUAUCACAGACCUGUUUUUUUUUUACAUCUACAUACAUUGCAUCAGCUCCAAGCCUGCAGCCCUUAAUUCUUCAGACCAUGCUUUCUACAUUGGUUUUCAGUGGAAAACCAGUAUGUUCAAGAAUCCAGAAUCCCAGAAAAGAUCAAUCUCCCUAUCAUUCAAUCACCAAAAUCCAGUCAUGUCAACAGCAAAAUCCCAAUACCGAGUAUUCUGUCAGCAAGUUUUGGACGGGGCCUAGGCCUAAACCCCACCUCAUAAACCCUUUGAUAACAACUACUGAACAGAACCCUGUUGAUGAAGCCGCUAAAAAUGGAGCCUUUGAGGGAACAAAUGGUUCUCUGCGAAAGGGUUUUCAGCAGAUGUUGGUUUUGUGUGGAUUCGGAUACUGGGUGAAUGGUUUCAGGUGCUUUCCUUGGUUGGGACUCAACUUUCAUAUGGCUAGUAAUCUUUGUAUGCAGCCUUCAAAUCUGCAGAUGGUACAGAAUUUUGGUAGUCUUCCAAUGGUGGCCAAGCCUCUGUAUGGGGUAUUGUCUGAUGCUCUGUAUAUUGGGCGGGCUCGUAGAAUACCUUAUGUAUCCAUUGGAGUCUUUCUUCAGGUUCUGUCUUGGGGAUCGUUGGCAUUAAUUCCAGUUGCAAGUGAAGCUCUUUCAAUUCUUCUUGCAUGUGUUCUGCUCAGUAAUCUUGGGGCAUCUAUUGCAGAAGUUGCAAAGGAUGCUCUUGUUGCAGAGUACGGUCAAAAAAACAAGAUGCCUGGUCUGCAAUCAUAUGCAUUCAUGGCCUUAGCAGCUGGUGGGAUUCUAGGGAACUUGUUAGGUGGUUAUUUCUUACUACAAACUCAGCAACCCAAGUCCAUGUUCCUAUCAUUUUCUGUUUUACUGGCUUUUCAACUUACCAUAACUCUGGGAAUGAAAGAGGAUUCUCUUGGUUUACCUCAAACAUCAAGUCACUCUUUGGUGAGGAAAUCAAUCUCAGAAAGUAUUAGAAAACAGUACUUUGAUCUUCUGGUUGCGGCAAGGGAGGAGAGUAUCUCUCGUCCUCUCAUCUGGAUUGUUGCUUCCACUGCAACUGUUCCAAUCUUGUCAGGCUCCAUAUUUUGCUAUCAGACGCAAUGCCUAAAUCUCGAUCCAUCAGUUAUAGGGAUGUCAAAGGUGAUUGGCCAGUUAAUGCUUCUUGUGAUGACUGUAUCGUAUGAUCGACUUUGGAAACAUGUUCCCAUGAGAAAACUAGUUGGCAUUGUGCAGAUUUUGUAUGCUUCCUCCGUUCUUCUUGAUCUUAUACUUGUGACACAGGUGAAUCUUUGGUGGGGGAUUCCUAAUGAGGCUUUUGUUUUUUGCUUUUCUGGAGUAGCAGAAACUCUAGCACAAUUUAAGCUCUUGCCUUUCCAUGUGCUUUUUGCAAGUUUAGCUCCACCUGGCUGUGAAGGAUCUUUAAUGUCUUUUCUGGCUUCGGCUUUGUGCUUGUCGUCAAUAGCUAGUGGUUUCUUUGGUGUUGGAUUUGCCUCUGUUAUUGGCAUCACAUCUAAUGAUUACACAAGUUUACCUACCGGGAUUGUCAUGCAGUUUCUUGCAGCAUUACUGCCAUUGCUCUGGAUUAAUCGUGUGCCUGCAACACAUCCUUCAGCUGAAAAGGAAAGGAAGAAAGGUAGGAGUAGGAGGACCCGGAGAACUAGAAGGGUGGGGAGAGUUGGAUUUGGUUCAAUAUACUCUUAUAGACGUGAAAGAGAACCUGACUUUCUGAGGUGAGAAUCUAGUGCAAAGUUCUGGUGGUAUUGUACAAUUAUCCAUGAACAGAAGCACAGAAUUCAGGAAACACGUUCCUCAUCUCCCAAGAUUUCAACUCAUCAAGUUUCUGUGGGAUAGGUGCGUAUUGCUUUUGAAACGUCAUAGAAGACAUGGGUAAAUUCAAUCUUAAGCGAGCUCUGAGAAGUAAUUUCCACUGAUAGCAAGCUUGGAUGUUCUGUGACCUUUCCAGGAGACAUAACUCAAAAUAGACCUGAGUGGUAAUAAAAGUUAGCAGGCUCGGUGAAGUUGCCUUACAACAAACUCUCAUGCUGAUGAAUAAAUGAGCCAGUGUUGCAGGAUGAAAAAUUGGUCUGUACAGAGUUUAGGAGAAGCAACAAAGUGGCAGCCAGAAUGGAAAUAAUGGACCACAGGGUCCUGAGAUAAUUCUUCAUCAGGUGCGCCUUCCAGAUAUUUGGUUGCCAGCUACACUGCUUGUUAACUGUCUUAAAAAGUCUCAGGUAGCAGAAAUUAUCUGAGAGUAGCACAUCCUCGGCAAGUUUGUUAAACAUGGUAGAGACAGCUAACCAAUUUCUUACAAUCCAUCUGUGGCGAUGCUUUUCAACAUCCCCUUAAGCAUCAAUUAGGAAGUCCAUGAAUGUUACAUGAUCAGUCACACAUCUGUAAUCCUCAUAGACGGUAAGCAUGUAUUCUUCAUAUGCCAUUAAAUUUCUGAAGAAAGUUUCUGUAACAUCUCCUACAGGAAAAGGAGUGAUUUUUAUUACCCCAUUUUUGAACGUAAUGUGGAGCCAUGAUACACCU